rnacentral:rRNA from 1 species
GACGAACGCUGGCGGCGUGCCUAAUACAUGCAAGUCGAGCGCAGGAAACUGACGGAACUCUUCGGAGGGAAGGCAGUGGAAUGAGCGGCGGACGGGUGAGUAACACGUAAGGAACCUGCCUCCAGGAUUGGGAUAACUCCGAGAAAUCGGAGCUAAUACCGGAUAGUUCAACGGACCGCAUGGUCCGCUGACGAAAGGCGCUUCGGCGUCACCUUGAGAUGGCCUUGCGGUGCAUUAGCUAGUUGGUGGGGUAACGGCCCACCAAGGCGACGAUGCAUAGCCGACCUGUGAGGGUGAUCGGCCACACUGGGACUGAGACACGGCCCAGACUCCUACGGGAGGCAGCAGUAGGGAAUCUUCCACAAUGGACGAAAGUCUGAUGGAGCAACGCCGCGUGAGUGAUGAAGGUUUUCGGAUCGUAAAACUCUGUUGUAAGGGAAGAACACGUACGAGAGGAAAUGCUCGUACCUUGACGGUACCUUACGAGAAAGCCACGGCUAACUACGUGCCAGCCGCCGCGGUAC